rnacentral:rRNA from 1 species
GGACUACUGGGGUAUCUAAUCCUGUUUGCUACCCACGCUUUCGCUCCUCAGCGUCAGUAUCGGCCCAGAGCAGCGCCUUCGCCACCGGUGUUCCUCCUAAUAUCUGCGCAUUUCACCGCUACACUAGGAAUUCCCUGCUCCCCUACCGAACUCAAGUCAGAGCAGUAUCGGGUGGCGGCUCUGGGUUAAGCCCAGAGUUUUCACACCCGACUUACUCAACCGCCUACGAGCUCUUUACGCCCAAUAAAUCCGGACAACGCUUGGUGCCUACGUGUUACCGCGGCUGCUGGCAC